rnacentral:rRNA from 1 species
UGACCUUGGAUCAGGUAGGGAUAUCCGCUGAACUUAGGCAUAUCAACAAAUGGAGGAGAAGAAACCAACCAGGAUUGUCCCAGUAAUGGCGAGUGAAGCAGCAACAGCUCUAAUUUGAAAUCUGGCCCCCCGGGCCCGAGUUGUAAUUUGCAGAAGAUGCUUCGAGUGCGGCGCAGGUCUAAGUUCCUUAGAACGGGAUGUCACAGAGGGUGAGAAUCCCAUACGUGACCGGCGGUCUGGCCCAGGUGAAGCUCCUUUGACGAGUUGAGUUGUUUGGGAAUGCAGCUCCAAAUGGGUGGUAAAUUCCAUCUAAAGCUAAAUACCAGCCAGAGACUGAUAGUGUAUAAGUAGAGUGAUUGAACGAUGAAAAGCACUUUGGAAAGAGAGUUAAACUGUACGUGAAAUUGUUGAAAGGGAAGCACUUGCGGCCAGACUUGCCCACGGGUGAUCAGCUGCCCUUUGGGGCGGUGCACUCGCCUGCGGCCAGGCCAGCAUCUGUUUGAGCAGCUGGACAAAGGCCUUGGGAACGUGGCUCCCCCACGUUAGUGUUACACCCCAGGGUGUCAUACAGCCUGCCCAGACCGAGGACUGCGCUCCGGUGAAGAUGCUGGCGUAAUGGCUGUCAGCGACCCAUCUUGAAACACGGACCAUGGAGUCUAACAUCUAUACGAGUGUUUGAGCAUCAAACCCCGGUGCGGAAUGAAAGUGAACAGAGGUUGGAACCCCCGGCCAGAUGCACCAUUGACCGAUCCUGAUGCCUUCGGAUGGAUUUGAGUAAGAGCAUAGCUGUUGGGACCCAAAAGAUGGUGAACUAUGCCUGGAUAGGGUGAAGCCAGAGGAAACUCUGGUGGAGGCUUGCAGCGGUUCUGACAUGCAAAUUGAUCGUCAAAUUUAGGUAUAGGGGCAAAAGACUAAUAGAACCAUCUAGUAGCUGAUUCCUGCCAAAGUUUCCCUCAGGAUAGCAGUAGCAUGUUCAGUUUUAUGAGGUAAAGCAAAAGAUUAGAGGCCUUGGGGUUGGAACAACCUUAACCUAUUCUCAAACUUUAAAUAUGUAAGAAGUCCUUGUUGCUCUGUUAAAUGGGGACUGUCAAAUGCACCGUUACUAGUGGGCCAUUUUUGGUAAGCAGAACUGGCAAUACGGGAUGAGCCAAACGCGAGGUUAAGGUGCCAGAAUGCACGCUCAUCAGACAUCACAAAAGGUGUUAGUUCAUCCAGACAGCCGGACAGUAGCCAUGGAAGUCGGAACCCGCUGAGGAGUGUGUAACAACUCACCAGCCGAAUGAACUAGCCUUGAAAUUGGAUGGCGCUCAAGCGUGCUACCCAUACCUUGCCGCCGGGGUAGAAACAAUGCCCCGGCAAGUAGGCAGGCGUGGGGGUUGGUGAUGAAGCCUUGAGAGCAAUCCCGGGUCGAAUGGCCCCUAGUGCAGAUCUUGGUGGUAGUAGCAAAUACUCAAAUGAGAACUUUGAGGACUGAAGUGGGGAAAGGUUCCAUGUGAACAGCAGUUAGACAUGGGUUAGUCAGGCCUAAGAGAUAGGGAAGCUCCGUUCGAAAGUGCGCACUCAUACGCUGUCCCUCAAAAUGGAAGCCGGUUAACAUUCCGGCACCUGGAUAUGGAUUCUCCAUGGUAACAUAACUGAACGCAGAGACGCUGGCAUGGGCCCUGGGAAGAGUUCUCUUUUCUUCUUAACGGCUCAUUACCCUGAAAUUGGUUGGUCCGGAGCUAGGGUUUGACGGCCGGCAGAGCCCUGCACCUUUGCGGGGUCUGGUGCGCUCCUGACGGCCCUUGAAAAUCUGCAAGAAGGAUUAGUUUUCACGUCAGGUCAUACUCAUAACCACAGCAGGUCUCCAAGGUGAAAAGCCUCUAGUUGAUAAAACAAUGUAGGUAAGGGAAGUCGGCAAAAUAGAUCCGUAACUUUGGGAAAAGGAUUGGCUCUAAAGGUUGGGUGCGUUGGGCCUUGGGGGGAUGCCCCCGGAGCAGGCAGGCACUAGCUGGGCAACCGGCAGGUGCCCGCCAGCAUUGGGGCGUAGACGCCCUUGGCAGGCCUCGGCUGUCUGGUGCAUGCUUAACAACAGACUUAGAACGGGUACGGAUAAGGGGAAUCUGACUGUCUAAUUAAAACAUAGCAUUGUGAUGGCCAGCAAGUGGUGUUGACGCAAUGUGUUUUCUGCCCAGUGCUCUGAAUGUCAAAGUGAAGAAAUUCAAAUAAGCGCAGGUAAACGGCAGGAGUAACUAUGACUCUCUUAAGGUAGCCAAAUGCCUUGUCAUCUAAUUAGUAAUGUGUAUGAAUGGAUUAACAAGAUUCCCACUGUCCCUAUCUACUAUGUAGCAAAACCACAGCCAAGGGAACGGGCUUGACGGAAUCAGCGGGGAAAGAAGACCCUGUUGAGCUUGACUCUAGUUUGACAUUGUGAAAAGACAUAGGGGGUGUAAAAUAGGUGGAAGCUCCGGCGCCGGUGAAAUACCACUACCCUUAUUGUUUUUUUACUUAUUCAGUGAAGCGGAACAGGGCGUUGCCAUCUAACUUCUGGCGUCAAGGUCCCCCGCAGGCCAAUCCGGGUUGAAGACAUUGUCAGGUGGGGAGUUUGGCUGGGGCGGCACAUCUGUUAAACCAUAACGCAGGUGUCCUAAGGGGGACUCAUGGAGAACAGAAAUCUCCAGUGGAACAAAAGGGUAAAAGUCCCCUUGAUUUUAAUUUUCAGUGUGAAUACAAACCAUGAAAGUGUGGCCUAUCGAUCCUUUAGUCCCUCAGAAUUUAAGGCUAGAGGUGCCAGAAAAGUUACCACAGGGAUAACUGGCUUGUGGCAGCCAAUCGUUCAUAACAACGUUGCUUUUUGAUCCUUCAAUGCCGGCUCUUCCUAUCAUACCGAAGCAGAAUUCGGUAAGCAUUGGAUUGUUCACCCAUUAAUAAGGAAUGUGAGCUGGGUUUAGACCGUCGUGAGACAGGUUAGUUUUACCCUAUUGAUGACCAUUGCCGCCACAGUGGUUCAACUUAGUACAAGAGGAACCGUUGAUUCAGAUAAUUGAUUUUUGCGACUGUCUGACUGGGCAGUGCCGUAAAGCUACCACCUGCUGGAUUAUGGCUGAACGCCUCUAAGUCAGAAUCCAUGCUGGGACAUGACAAUUCCCCACCGUACAUUGUAGUCAGAUAUCAACAGGCCUCCGGGCCCUGGACCUUAGUGGGCCGGCAGUGGCGCCCGGGUGGAAGUCCUGGACGCCAGCCUGCAGAUUGCAAUUUCACCAUACGCGGGGAUAAAUCCUUUGCACACAACUUAACAGACUGGCUGGGUCCUGUAAGCGGUAGAGUAGCCUUGUUGUUACAAUCCACUGAGGGUAAUCCUGAUGCUGGCUAGAUUUAU